GAUGAAGAACGUAGUGAAAUGCGAUAAGUAAUGUGAAUUGCAGAAUACAGUGAAUCAUCGAAUCUUUGAACGCACCUUGCACCCUUUGGCAUUCUGAAGGGUAUGCUCGUUUGAGUGUCAUUGUACUCUCACACUCCCGAUCUUUGCAUUGGGAGCAGUGGACUUGGGUUUGCUGCUUCACCGUCGCUUACCUCAAAUAGGUUAAUGCAACUCUUGGUUGGACAUAGUACGGCGUGAUAAGUGUUCUUCGCCGGUGCCUCGCAAAGAGGGUGGCCGAUCGGGAUGUUGUGCUCCAAACCGUCUUCGGACAAUCUCUGACGACUUGACCUCAAAUCGAGUAAGACUACCCGCUGAACUUAAGCAUAUCAAUAAGCGGAGGA
rnacentral:misc_RNA from 1 species